UCGGCCUGAGUGUAAAUAAGCCUCAGGACGUUUGGUUCUCGAAACACUUGGUACUCAAACCACUUGGUCUCUAAAAUGUCUCAGAGUGAUUGUAAUUAGGGAAAAGUGUACCAAGUGGGAGUCAAACGGUUAAACAUCAAUUAUACAGCUUUGUGACUCGUCUCUGAUCGCCGCCACACAGACACACACACACUCAGGGCGGUGAAGCGGGUGGAAGUGCAUUGUUAUUACCUCCAUACACCACGGUAUCCUUAGCGCCCCUCCAAGCCUUGGCCCUAGACUCGGGUGUGUAGGAGGAAGAGGAGGAGGAGGGGCAAGGAGGAGUAUGGGUACCAUUCGCCCCAGUACCAAGUGACUGCAAACCAAGAGAGCAUGGUGGCGGGAGGUGUAAUGGUGCACGGCGCGAUGGUGAGACAUGGUGGUAAUGGUGCAGAGCGAGGAAAUGCUGAAAUUACUGGCGGUGGCAGGGAGGCGUAGGCGUGGCGCUAGGACGGUGUAGUGAUGAUGACUUCCUUGGCAAGUACGAACCACUCUUGCCCGGCUAUCAGCGACGCCGUCUGCGUGAGAACGCACUGGAGUUCCCGACGAGAAGAACCGCGGUGGAAGUUCUGACGAAGGGAGGAGGGCGUCGGUAAUUUCCAAGCAGUCCAGGAUGUGUUAGACUGGCCGCAGUGGGUUUGGAUUCAAGGCGAAGCGGAAACCAGUGCUUCUUGUGUUGGGGAGAGAGGAAGCCGCAGCGGGGAGUGUGAGUGAAGGCGAGUGGAAAGAAAGAGGCGCUGCAGUAUUUUGCAAGGAGGAGCGAGCACACAGCCACGCCUCUCCAGCCCUCGCCUUGCUUUGCUUUGCUUUACCACGCCUUCCCUCACUCCCUCACUUCCUUGAUUCAUUACAAAACUCUUCCACACCAUUCCUCCAUCAUUCACGAAUCUUUAUCGUACCACAGCAUCCUCUCGUCUCCAGCCAUCUCAUGCUGCCAUUGACAUUCGUGAAAGAAAACCAAUAAUUAUGAAAGGAUUGCGUAGAAAUGUGCAGCCAAUGUGCAAUACAUGCAUCAUAAGCAAACGCCUUUCAUUAUUGGCUAAGCAGAAGAUCCCUUGGUACAUGCUGUAGAGAAGAUUAAAGAUAUAUUCCUGAAACGUUGCUUCCAGCCGGGGUUGGUGGCGCGGCCCUGUAAUCCGGCGACGCGGAGGCUUGGCCCAGUGGACGGCUUGAGGCGAGGGUGGCUGCUGCGGGACUCCCCAUGUUGAGUGGGCGUCCGCACUAAGCUCGGCAUCAAUAUGGCCGCCCCUGGGGAGCCGGGGGCGUCCAGGUUGCCUAAGGAGGUGUGAACCAGGCCAGGGGGGAAACCCAGCAGCCAAAAGCACCCGUGUGGAGCAGCAGUGGGAUCGCGCCCGUGAGUGGGCGGCGCGCAGUAGCCUUGCCAACACAGGCGGACCUGGUACUUUUAUUUUAUUCUUCUCAUUUUUGUCUACCAUUGUGUAAGAAGACAUUCUUGUAAGACAUAACAACAGAUACUUGUAUGUCCACGCGUUAUUCACUCUUCUUCACCAUCUGCUGUGGAGUUUAUUUUUUUAUCGUUACUUCAAAGUAUCGAAAAAUAUGUAAUUACUUUAUCAUUCACUUGCCCAUUGAAAACUCACCAUACAUCUGGAAUAUCAAUAGUGGAAAGAUUAGAAUUAACAGUAAUAAAUUUUAACACUGCUUUCUCUACACGUGCGAAGA